rnacentral:rRNA from 1 species
UGGGGAAUCUUGCGCAAUGGGCGAAAGCCUGACGCAGCGACGCCGCGUGAGGGAAGAAGGCCUUCGGGUUGUAAACCUCUUUCAGGAGGGACGAAGCCACUCGGGUUAAUACCCCAGAGGGUGACGGUACCUCCAGAAGAAGCCCCGGCUAACUACGUGCCAGCAGCCGCGGUAAUACGUAGGGGGCAAGCGUUGUCCGGAUUUAUUGGGCGUAAAGCGCGUGUAGGCGGCCACGCAGGUCCGCUGUGAAAACUCGAGGCUCAACCUCGAGAUGUCGGUGGAAACCGCGUGGCUAGAGUCCGGAAGAGGAGAGUGGAAUUCCCGGUGUAGCGGUGAAAUGCGCAGAUAUCGGGAAGAACACCCAUGGCGAAGGCAGCUCUCUGGGACGGUACUGACGCUGAGACGCGAAAGCGUGGGGAGCGAACAGG